UACAGAGGGUGCGAGCGUUAAUCGGAAUUACUGGGCGUAAAGCGCGCGUAGGCGGCUUUGCAAGUCGGGUGUGAAAUCCCCGGGCUCAACCCGGGAACUGCGUCCGAGACUGGCAGGCUCGAAUCCGGGAGAGGGAUGUGGAAUUCCAGGUGUAGCGGUGAAAUGCGUAGAUAUGUGGAGGAAUACCGAUGGCGAAGGCAGCCCCCUGGGAUAACACUGACGCUCAUGCACGAAAGCGUGGGGAGCAAACAGG
rnacentral:rRNA from 1 species